rnacentral:rRNA from 1 species
CGACCGGCGCACGGGUGAGUAACACGUAUGCAACCUGGCCGUCACAGGUGGAUAACCGGAAGAAAUUCCGACUAAUACAGCAUAACACUCCUGAGGGACAUCCUUCGGGAGUCAAAGGAGGCAACUCCGGUGACGGAUGGGCAUGCGGCGCAUUAGGUAGUUGGUAGGGUAACGGCCUACCAAGCCGACGAUGCGUAGGGGUUCUGAGAGGAAGGUCCCCCACAUUGGAACUGAGACACGGUCUAAACUCCUACGGAAGGCAGCAG